rnacentral:piRNA from 1 species
UUGCAAGAGCAAAUGAUGUAAGUAAC